UACAGAGGAGCCAAGCGUUGUCCGGAUUGACUGGGCGUAAAGGGCGCGUAGGCGGUCGUGACAAGUCACUUGUGAAAUCUCCGGGCUUAACUCGGAACGGUCAAGUGAUACUGUCGGACUAGAGUACAGAAGGGGCAACUGGAAUUCUCGGUGUAGCGGUGAAAUGCGUAGAUAUCGAGAGGAACACCUGCGGCGAAGGCGGGUUGCUGGGCUGAUACUGACGCUGAGGCGCGAAAGCCAGGGGAGCGAACGGG
rnacentral:rRNA from 1 species